rnacentral:rRNA from 1 species
GACGAACGCUGGCGGCGUGCCUAAUACAUGCAAGUCGAACGCAGUGGGGACGGGUGAGUAACACGUGGGUAACCUCCCAUCAGAGGGGAUAACACUUGGAAACAGGUGCUAAACCGAUACUGAUGGAUGGACCCGCGGUGCAUUAGCUAGUUGGUGAGGUAACGGCUCACCAAGGCCCCGAUGCAUAGCCGACUUGCGAGGUGGAGCGGCCACACUGGGACUAGGACACGGCCCAGACUCCUACGGGAGGCAGCAGUAGGGAAGCUUCGGAAAGGGACGAAAGUCUGACCGAGCAACGCGGCGUGUGUGAAGAAGGUUUUCGGAUCUUAAAACUCGGUUGUGAGAGAAGCGGUAUCUACCCAGAAAGCCACGGCUAACUACGUGCCAGCAGCCGCGGUAAUAC